GACGAACGCUGGCGGCGUGCUUAACACAUGCAAGUCGAACGGAAAGGCCCUGCUUUUGUGGGGUGCUCGAGUGGCGAACGGGUGAGUAACACGUGAGUAACCUGCCCUUGACUUUGGGAUAACUUCAGGAAACUGGGGCUAAUACCGGAUAGGAGCUCCUGCUGCAUGGUGGGGGUUGGAAAGUUUCGGCGGUUGGGGAUGGACUCGCGGCUUAUCAGCUUGUUGGUGGGGUAGUGGCUUACCAAGGCUUUGACGGGUAGCCGGCCUGAGAGGGUGACCGGCCACAUUGGGACUGAGGUACGGCCCAGACUCCUACGGGAGGCAGCAGUGGGGAAUAUUGCACAAUGGGCGGACGCCUGAUGCAGCAACGCCGCGUGCGGGAUGACGGCCUUCGGGUUGUAAACCGCUUUCGCCUGUGACGAAGCGUGAGUGACGGUAAUGGGUAAAGAAGCACCGGCUAACUACGUG
rnacentral:rRNA from 1 species